ACAAACCAUCGGGUACAAUUUUCAUCUAUAUACUCUCAUACACACACACUUAAAUCAACUCUACCAUAAACCUUACAAAUCAUAUUCAGAGAGAGAGAGUCAGUAAGAAAAGAGGGAGAGAGGGAAAGCUAGCAGAGAGCAAGAAUUUGGGAUUCGAUUCGAUCCUUUCAAGAUUUUACCUAUCGAAAGUAACAAAGCAGCACCAAUCGGUCAGCCCCUUAAUUUCUUUUGUAACUCAAGAACACUAGAAAGAAUAAAAUUUGAAUACACGAACCUAUCUUCGGCGCUGUACGAACAAGGGGCGGGGCGGACAAUGCUGUGGCUAAUUGCGGACGACGGCGACGCUGCGAGACCUUCAACGGUGCAGCAGUGGCGGCUUCCGUCGUGGGACAGCGGUGGUGUCCCUGACCCCGUCGGCGAGCAGCAGCAGAUUUUGGGCGAGACGGCGGCCACGCCGGUCUGAAAUCGGGACAGCGUUUGAGGCGUCGGUGCCGCCCGGAAUGAUGACCGACGAAUCGACGUAGCUCACGAACAGAACCGGAAAUCCGGCAGAGGGAGAGACUCCGGUGAGCGGGAAAAGCCGGCGGAGAAUUUGGGCUUAAUCUGAUUUGGGGAUUGUAGAAAGAAGAAGGGGAUGAGAAGACAGGGAAAAAUUCUUUUUUUUUAAAUGCAUGUUAAUGGAAUUUCAUUUUAAUGAAGAGGUUUAAUUGUAUUCC